rnacentral:rRNA from 1 species
UACGAAGGGUGCAAACGUUGCUCGGAAUCAUUGGGCGUAAAGCGCGUGUAGGCGGUCCGGUAAGUCCGCUGUGAAAGUCGAGGGCUCAACCCUCGAAUGCCGGUGGAUACUGUCGGGCUAGAGUACGGAAGAGGCGAGUGGAAUUCCUGGUGUAGCGGUGGAAUGCGCAGAUAUCAGGAGGAACACCAAUAGCGAAGGCAGCUCGCUGGGACGGUAUUGACGCUGAGGCGCGAAAGCGUGGGGAGCAAACAGG